AUUGAACGCUGGCGGCAGGCCUAACACAUGCAAGUCGAACGAGUGGCGGACGGGUGAGUAAUGUCUGGGAAACUGCCCGAUGGAGGGGGAUAACUACUGGAAACGGUAGCUAAUACCGCAUACCAUCGGAUGUGCCCAGAUGGGAUUAGCUAGUAGGUGGGGUAACGGCUAACCUAGGCGACGAUCCCUAGCUGGUCUGAGAGGAUGCCCAGCCACACGUGAACUGAGACACGGUCCAGACUCCUACGGGAGGCAGCAGGGGGGAAUAUUGCACAAUGGGCGCAAGCCUGAUGCAGCCAUGCCGCGGGUAUGAAUAAGGCCUUCGGGUUGUAAAGUACGUUCAGCGAGUAGGCGUUACUCGCAGAAGAAGCACCGGCUAACUCCGUGCCAGCAGCCGCGGUAAUAC
rnacentral:rRNA from 1 species